rnacentral:rRNA from 1 species
GACGAACGCUGGCGGCGUGCUUAACACAUGCAAGUCGAACGGAAAGGCCCUGCUUUUGUGGGGUGCUCGAGUGGCGAACGGGUGAGUAACACGUGAGUAACCUGCCCUUGACUUUGGGAUAACUUCAGGAAACUGGGGCUAAUACCGGAUAGGAGCUCCUGCUGCAUGGUGGGGGUUGGAAAGUUUCGGCGGUUGGGGAUGGACUCGCGGCUUAUCAGCUUGAUGGUGGGGUAGUGGCUUACCAAGGCUUUGACGGGUAGCCGGCCUGAGAGGGUGACCGGCCACAUUGGGACUGAGAUACGGCACAGACUCCUACGGGAGGCAGCAGUGGGGAAUAUUGCACAAUGGGCGGAAGCCUGAUGCAGCAACGCCGCGUGCGGGAUGACGGCCUUCGGGUUGUAAACCGCUUUCGCCUGUGACGAAGCGUGAGUGACGGUAAUGGGUAAAGAAGCACCGGCUAACUACGUG